rnacentral:rRNA from 1 species
GUCAGAGGUGGCGAGCGUUGUUCGGAAUUACUGGGCUUAAAGGGCGAGUAGGAGUCCCGGUAAGUCGGAUGGGGAAUCUUUUUGCUUAACGAAAAAAUUGCAUCUGAAACUGUCGGGAUUGAGUCAGUGAGGGGAGGGCGGAAUUACUGGUGUAGCGGUGAAAUGCGUAGAUAUCAGGAGGGUGGUCUGUGGCGAAGGCGGCCCUCUGGCACUGUACUGACGGUGAGGCGCGAAAGCGCCGGGAGCAUACAGG